GCAGACACAUUCCAGCCAUUCAGCAGCAGACCCUCCCUCCCAGACUCUCCCACCUCCUGGACAGCAUCCAUUUUGAAGCUGCAUUCUUAGUGAGCUGUCCAGGAGAUGGGAGGGUCUGGGAGGGAGGGUCUGCUGCUGAUUGGCUGGAAUGUGUCUG